rnacentral:ribozyme from 14 species
UUUUUUUUUUUUUUUUUUUUUUUUUUUUGUUUGCGCACUCGUUUAAUCUUCAAUCAGCCUCCCAUCAGAAAACGCACAGGAUGGCC